rnacentral:rRNA from 1 species
AUGCAAGUCGAACGGCAGCACAGGAGAGCUUGCUCUCUGGGUGGCGAGUGGCGGACGGGUGAGGAAUAUAUCGGAAUCUACCCUUUCGUGGGGGAUAACGUAGGGAAACUUACGCUAAUACCGCAUACGAACUGAGGUUGAAAGCGGCGGACCGCAAGGCGUCGCGCGGAUGGAUGAGCCGAUAUCCGAUUAGCUAGUUGGCGGGGUAAAGGCCCACCAAGGCGACGAUCGGUAGCUGGUCUGAGAGGAUGAUCAGCCACACUGGGACUGAGACACGGCCCAGACUCCUACGGGAGGCAGCAGUGGGGAAUUUUGGACAAUGGGGGCAACCCUGAUCCAGCCAUUCCGCGUGAGUGAAGAAGGCCUUCGGGUUGUAAAGCUCUUUUGUCCGGAACGAAACGGUGCAGGUGAAUAUCCUGCGCUACUGACGGUACCGGAAGAAUAAGCACCGGCUAACUACGUGCCAGCAGCCGCGGUAAUACGUAGGGUGCAAGCGUUAAUCGGAAUUACUGGGCGUAAAGCGUGCGCAGGCGGUUUUGUAAGCCAGAUGUGAAAUCCCCGGGCUUAACCUGGGAAUGGCAUUUGGGACUGCAAGGCUUGAGUACGGCAGAGGGGACUAGAAUUCCUGGUGUAGCAGUGAAAUGCGUAUAUAUCAGGAGGAAUACCGAUGGCGAAGGCAGGUCCCUGGGCUGAUACUGACGCUCAUGCACGAAAGCGUGGGGAGCAAACAGGAUUAGA